GCAGAGUAGAGGGGGAGAAUCACCUCCUUCAACCUGCUCGCCAUGCUGCUUUUGAUGCAGCCCAGGACACAGUUGGAUUUCUGGGCUGCAGGUGCACAUUGCUCGCUCAUUUUGAGCAUCUCAUCAACCAAAACCCUCAGGUCCUUCUCCUCAGGGCUGCUCUCAAUCCAUUCUCC